UGCCAUCUUGUGUGUGUGUGUGUGCGUAUUCCGUGCGCUGCCCUGGUCCGUCUUCAUUUAGUGUCUAGUGUCCCUGCCAGCUCACUUGCAUGUUUGUUUGCUGUGUAUUUUGUAUCUUUGAUCUUGCCUGUCUACCAUCCCUGGAUUGCUUUCUUUUGUUUAUGUACUUGGAAUAAUUACCUGUGCACUGUUGGAUGUAUUUCAUUUCUGUUCUGGACUUGCCACUUGGAUUGUUGGACAUGUGAACCUACCACCUCACUGUAAGAUUGUACCUUUGUGUUUCUUUCAAUUAAAUUAAGAAAACGAACUUGCUCUACCUAAUGUUUCUGCAUCUGGGUCCAAAUCCCUGUUUUUCCCGUGUCUGCACACAUGACAGUGAGGACUGACCAUGAUGGACCCAGCAGACUAUCAGUCUGCUUCAGCUGGCCAGCGCUCCAGAAACUGUGCUAGCCAGAUUCCCAGAAACAUUGAUGGCCAGCUCCACAGAGACUCAGGUGACCAGCGCCUCAGAGAUUAUGCUAUUCAGCCUCCCAGAGACUAAACUGGCCAUCUGAACAGCUUCACAGUAAUUCAGUUGCCCUGUGUUCCAGAGAGUCAGCUGAUCUGCUCUUCAGAGACUUCUCCAUCCAGCUUCACAUAGACUCAGCUGAUUAGCAAGCGAGAGACUCAGUUGCUCUGUUCCACUGGAUUGCCACCAGUUUCGUCUGGUUCUCAGACACCUGCUGGGCUGCAGCAACACCCUGACUUUGUUGAGCUACUGCUACUUCCUGUCUCUACUGAGUUUAAGCAACCCCACGUCCCUGAGCGAGAACUGCAGCCAUGCCUACUCCCUCCUGCCUAACUCCCUGUUGUAGCCAAUCUCCAAUCCUGUUGCCCUGUCGCCGGCCUUCAGCUCUGACUCCAGAUACCAGCUAACCAGCCCAGCUGCUCUGUCACUGGCCUCCAGUCCAGCAAUCCUGCCUCCUGGCUGCCCUCCCUCUUGUUCUGUUCUGUUCUUUGACUCAGACUCCUGGUCCUGGUUUUCAGUCACGUUGCCGGCCUGGGAGCCAUUCCUUGAUGGGGGCAAGUAAAAAUAAGAAAACUGAACUUGCUGGCUUGGUGUUCCUGCGUCUGGGUCCAAAUCCCUGUUUUUCCCCUGUCUGCCCUCUAGUAAUUCCAAAAAUGUCAAACAAUUCCUUUACAAAAAUACAAGUGGAUGGUUCCCAGCUACAAAUAAAAAAGAAGAGACAGAAUUUGAUUAAAGUUUAAUUUUCAGUGACAAAAUCAAAAAUAACAGUAUUCAAAGGAAGUAAAGUCUUCAACAACCCUG